rnacentral:tRNA from 1 species
UCCCUGGUAGCCUAAUGGUUAAGGGCUUGGCAUUGUCACUGCUCUGGCUCUGGUUAUUGCUGUGUCUUGGGUUUGAUCCCUGGCCUGGGAA